AGGGUUGGCCACCUUGAGAAGCUGCGAAGAUGGCGGAGUAAGGCGUGCCGCUGCAAACUGGCCUCUGGGCCGGGGGCGAGCAGCCCCCGGGAGGCCGAGUGCAUCUGUUGGACCGUGCGAGGAGAAGAAAAAAAAUAUCGGCCAGAGGAGAGGAACUAACCGAACAUUCUUCCUCCCUACCUUAUAGAGGGGAGUGGUCAUCUACACUAAAGCAAAGUGUUAGGCGCGUCCGUGCGAAGAGACCACCAAACAGGCUUUGUGUUCCUUAUCACAGGAAGAAAAUUUUCCUUGACCUUUAGGUGCUUUUAUAUUCAUCUCAAAAACAAAAUUCUGAACUCAGGACUUGGCAAACGGAGUUUCACUCUGUUGCUCAGGCCAGAGUGCAGUGGCACAAUCUCAGAUCACUGCAACCUCUGCCUCCCGGGUUCAAGCAAUUCUCCUGCCUCAGCCUCCCGAGUAGCUGGAAUUACAGGUGUCUCUAUGUUGUCUCCUAGAGUGGGUAGUCCUGCUUCUUUUACCCAGUUACUUUCCCGUUUUUGAAAUGUGGCUAUCACUUCUCUACACAUUACCUCCAUGAUUUGGAAUGGAAAAGGCCACUUUUCUUUUUGUUCUGCCUCUCAAAUUCAACACAGAGGAGCUCCUAGGAUUCCAGUUAUCCUGCUAACAUCUCCAGGAAGAAAGAAGCAACUCACAUGGGUCUUUUGCUGUUUGCUUAAUUAUAAAGACAUCAUUUUGCAAGCAGAAGGCUGAGUUUCAUUUGAAACAGGUGCUUAGGUGGUGGUAUUUGUGAAUACUUUUCAUUCCAAGCAAGAAGACUAAAGAAGUAGCAAGUAUGAAUGACUUCAGGGUUUAAAAAAAAUGUCUUCCAGUUUCAGCCACUACCAUGAUAAGCACAGUUGAGACUGCAGCAGUAAAUUCCAAAUAUGUGUUUCUAAUUUGACGUGAAAGAUACUAAAAAUUUAUAUUUGUAUAUUUAAAUCCUGGCUCAUCCUGUGACAUAGAUUUACUGAAUAGGAACAAAGGCCCAAUUUUAAACAAAAACCUAGGCCGGGUGUGGUGGCUCACACCUGUAAUCCCAACACUUUGGGAGGCCAAGGCAGGCAAAUCACCUGAGGUUGGGAGUUUGAGACCAGCCUGACCAACAUGGAGAAACCCCAUCUCUACUAAAAAUAGAAAAUUAGCCAGGUGUGGUGGUAGAUACGUGUAAUCCCAGCUACUCGUGAGGCUGAGGCAGGAGAAUUGCUUGAAUCCGGGAGGCGGAGGUUGCAGUGAACUGAGAUUGCACCACUGCACUCCAGCCUGGGCGACAGAGUGAGACUCCGUCUCAGAAAAAUAAAAAACAACUUUGGACAUAGAGGAGUUGGGGGCAGAGGGGGGAGGAUGAGAGAAUUUUCCAUGUAACUCCUUUUCCUUAAGAAAAAGAAGCAAAAAUCCCUCAUGCAGUGCCAUCUGACUUUAUGGUGUUUCACAUUAUAUAGUUACUUUUUUUAAUAAACGCAUAAGAUUAACUCUUCCUGCAACCCAAGGUGGAUACUUGGAUGUUUGAUUUUUAUUUAUUUAUUUAUUUAUUUUUUGAGGCAG
rnacentral:lncRNA from 1 species